rnacentral:rRNA from 1 species
GACGAACGCUGGCGGCGUGCUUAACACAUGCAAGUCGAACGGAAAGGCCUCUUUCGGGGGGUACUCGAGUGGCGAACGGGUGAGUAACACGUGAGUAACCUGCCCUUGACUUUGGGAUAACUUCAGGAAACUGGGGCUAAUACCGGAUAGGAGCUCCUGCUGCAUGGUGGGGGUUGGAAAGUUUCGGCGGUUGGGGCUGGACUCGCGGCUUAUCAGCUUGUUGGUGGGGUAGUGGCUUACCAAGGCUUUGACGGGUAGCCGGCCUGAGAGGGUGACCGGCCACAUUGGGACUGAGAUACGGCCCAGACUCCUACGGGAGGCAGCAGUGGGGAAUAUUGCACAAGGGGUGGAAGCCUGAUGCAGCAACGCCGGGGGCGGGAGGACGGCCUUCGGGUUGUAAACCGCUUUCGCUCAUGACGAAGCUUUGUGUGACGGUAGUGGGUAAAGAAGCACCGGCUAACUACGUG